CCUACGGGCGGCAGCAGUGGGGAAUAUUGCACAAUGGGGGAAACCCUGAUGCAGCGACGCCGCGUGAGUGAAGAAGUAAUUCGUUAUGUAAAGCUCUAUCAGCAGGGGAGUAAAUGACGGUACCUGAGUAAGAAGCCCCGGCUAACUUCGUGCCAGCAGCCGCGGUAAUACGUAGGGAGCAAGCGUUAUCCGGAUUUACUGGGUGUAAAGGGAGCGUAGACGGGUGUGUAAGUCAGUAGUGAAAGUCGGGGGCUCAACCGCCGGAUUGCCAUGGAAACUGUACGGCUGGAGUGCAGGCGAGGUAGGUGGAAUUCGUGGUGUAGCGGUGAAAUGCGUAGAUAUUACGAAGAACACCGAUGGCGAAGGCAGCCUACUAAACUGUAACUGACAUUGAGGCUCGAAAGUGUGGGUAGCAAACAGGAUUAGAUACCCGUGUAGUC
rnacentral:rRNA from 1 species